GAUGAACGCUGGCGGCGUGCCUAAUACAUGCAAGUCGAGCGAACGGACGGGAAGCUUGCUUCUCUGAUGUUAGCGGCGGACGGGUGAGUAACACGUGGAUAACCUACCUAUAAGACUGGGAUAACUUCGGGAAACCGGAGCUAAUACCGGAUGAUAUUUUGAACCGCAUGGUUCAAAAGUGAAAGACGGUCUUGCUGUCACUUAUAGAUGGAUCCGCGCUGCAUUAGCUAGUUGGUAAGGUAACGGCUUACCAAGGCAACGAUGCAUAGCCGACCUGAGAGGGUGAUCGACCACACUGGAACUGAGACACGGUCCAGACUCCUACGGGAGGCAGCAGUAGGGAAUCUUCCGCAAAGGGCGAAAGCCUGACGGAGCAACGCCGCGUGAGUGAUGAAGGUCUUCGGAUCGUAAAACUCUGUUAUUAGGGAAGAACAUAUGUGUAAGUAACUGUGCACAUCUUGACGGUACCUAAUCAGAAAGCCACGGCUAACUACGUG
rnacentral:rRNA from 1 species